rnacentral:misc_RNA from 1 species
UCCGGUUUGUCACCGGCAGUCUCCUAUGAGUCCCCAACUUAAUGCUGGCAACAUAGGACGGGGGUUGCGCUCGUUGCGGGACUCAACCCAACAUCUCACGACACGAGCUGACGACAGCCAUGCACCACCUGUAUCUCUGCCCCGAAGGGAAGCCAUGUUUCCAUGGAGAUCAGAGGUAUGUCAAGUCCAGGUAAGGUUCUUCGCGUUGCGUCGAAUUAAUCCACAUGCUCCGCUGCUUGUGCGGGUCCCCGUCAAUUCCUUUGAGUUUUAGCCUUGCGGCCGUACUCCCCAGGCGGGUCACUUAACGCGUUAGCUACGACACGGGGGGAGUCGACACCCCCCACAUCUAGUGACCAUCGUUUACGGCGUGGACUAC